AUGAUUAGGGACUCGGGGGCGNUAUAUUGCCUUCAUCCAUUCUCAAACUUUAAAUAUGUAAGAAGCCCUUGUUGCUUAAUUGAACGUGGGCAUUCGAAUGUAUCAACACUAGUGGGCCAUUUUUGGUAAGCAGAACUGGCGAUGCGGGAUGAACCGAACGCGAGGUUAAGGUGCCAGAGUAGACGCUCAUCAGACACCACAAAAGGUGUUAGUACAUNUUGACAGCAGGACGGUGGCCAUGGAAGUCGGAAUCCGCUAAGGACUGUGUAACAACUCACCUGCCGAAUGUACUAGCCCUGAAAAUGGAUGGCGCUCAAGCGUCUCACCCAUACCUCGCCCUCAGGGUAGAAACGAUGCCCUGAGGAGUAGGCGGACGUGGAGGUCAGUGACGAAGCCUAGGGCGUGAGCCC
rnacentral:rRNA from 1 species